rnacentral:lncRNA from 1 species
CCUGGAGGGACACGGCUGGAGCAUGGACGCAGGCCACGGGGACACCGGUGGAUGACCCACGCCAGGGUCAAAGGCCACGGGAAUACAGCCAGUCUAGGUUAGCUGCUGCCAUCGCAGUGAAGAUGGUCCAGUCGGAUACGCCGCCUGAACCUCAGCACCACACAUGGUUCCUGGAGCCCAAGUCAGUGGGAUGUUUGUCAUUUGGGUCCCCGGCACCUUCCUACAGGUAAGAGCAUCUUCAGUGAGGGUCGUAGACCAGGCUGGAGCCGGUAGGUCCCCCGGGAUACCUGCUGCUGGGCGCCAUCUGCCGGCUCCACGGUCGUCCGACGCUGAGGCACUUUCUGGGCCCUGUGGCCCCCACGCUCCAGGGUCCACGCGGAGGAUCUGAACUCAGAAACUUGAGGACUUCACCUUGCUACAAAGGCAUCACAGCCCUGACAUCACGCAGCUUUGAUAAUCCACCAGGUGUUUAAUCACAGGGACAGAGCACACCUCAAAGUGGUUUACGCACACACACAAAGAGGAAAUUCGCUGACAGGAGUUGAGAUGAGAGUGACAGGUUAUGGGCUCCAGGGGCGGCGCAGUCCAGGCAUUCCCACGAUGUCCUGUGGGCUGUGCCAGAACCCUGGGAAGAGCAACGUGGUCGGAGGGUCCCGGGGGAGAGUGGGUGGCGGAGGGUCCCCGGGGAGAGCAGGGUGGCCGGAGG